rnacentral:rRNA from 1 species
GUGCCAGCCGCCGCGGUAAGACGAACCGUGCAAACGUUGUUCGGAAUCACUGGGCUUAAAGGGCGCGUAGGCGGGCCAGCCAGUCUGUGGUGAAAGCCUCCAGCUUAACUGGAGAAGUGCCGUGGAUACUGCUGGCCUCGAGGAGGGUAGGGGCAUCUGGAACGGUCGGUGGAGCGGUGAAAUGCGUUGAUAUCGACCGGAACUCCGGUGGCGAAGGCGAGGUGCUGGGCCCUUUCUGACGCUGAUGCGCGAAAGCCAGGGGAGCAAACGGGAUUAGAAACCCCCGUAGUCC